UACGUAGGGUGCAAGCGUUAAUCGGAAUUACUGGGCGUAAAGCGUGCGCAGGCGGUUGUGUAAGACAGAUGUGAAAUCCCCGGGCUCAACCUGGGAACUGCAUUUGUGACUGCAUCGCUGGAGUGCGGCAGAGGGGGAUGGAAUUCCGCGUGUAGCAGUGAAAUGCGUAGAUAUGCGGAGGAACACCGAUGGCGAAGGCAAUCCCCUGGGCCUGCACUGACGCUUAUGCACGAAAGCGUGGGGAGCAAACAGG
rnacentral:rRNA from 1 species